UCCUACGCAUGCCUCAUGUUAUUCUUCUAUUCUUGAAAGGAUGACAUAAACCCCAUUUGCCUCCAUUUAAGGACCAGGCCUAAUUUUGAAAAGGAGGUCAUUAAGGUACCAGAUCCAGGAACAGACUAUAAGUCCCAGAAACUAGGCCAAAAGGCACCAGAUUCAGGAACAGACCAUAAAAUCCAGGGACAAGGAACCCUCCCAAAGAACAGCCUGGGGAUGACCACAAAAAUGGGGAAAUAUCUCAGAAUGGGCCAUCUGUACUGGGCAGCCCAUCUCAUCCCAUGGUUAAAACGUUCAUGACAUAGGAAAGCAGACCACUGACCACCUGUGACCCCCUAGAGUCCGCCACUUGGUUUCUUAUAAGAAGGCCUAUACGCCUUCAGCUUUGCCAUUUUGGAGAAUGGUUGACCUCCGCUGGUUGUUUCUGCAGAAUAAACACUCUUUGUUUUUGCGUGCCUACUCUCUGAGUCUGGGGUUUUCCCUCAGUGAUUUUCAGACACUUACACUUCAAUUAAACAUCAAUGACUCAAUUAUUUCCCCUUGAGUUCCUGUUUCAACUUUAUAUUGCCUCUCAAUUAUUAGUGCUAAUCGGUCCACUUCCACACUAAAAGUUCCAUUUCUCUGUGAUUUUGUAGGACUUGAUUUGAACUCCCUAUAGAGCUUUCAAGUAGCAUGCGCUAUGAUCUGCAUUCUACUGUACAUGUUGUCUCCUGUUUGCUUUGAACAGUGCACUACACAUGGCACUGAAGAAACACCCUUCUUUUUUUCUUAGUAAGUAUACUGUACUAGAAGCAAACGUUAAUUGCACAGCAAAAUCUACAUAGGCCUUUUUGCAAAUUAAAAUAUGUAAAGAUUAUUACAUUCACUUUGCCCCUCUGCCCUGGAAGAAGGUUCACACAGGUAGAAGAAUGAAUGGAAGACAGCAGUAAGAAUGAUUUUGUAAAAAGCUAAAAGGUGGAGGAGGGCUGUGGCUCAGUGGUUGAGUACAUGCUAGCAUAUAUAAGGUCCUGUGUUUGCUCCCCAGUGCCACAAAAUAAAAUAAACAAGAAUCUGCAGGCACUCGUCUUCUCUGUGAGCUUCACCUACUCCCAAGAUACAUGUAUCUCCCAAGCUUGCUGUCCAGCAAAGACCUCCAGCUAAGCACUUUAGCCAGAUUUGUUUAAAAUAUCAAGGCUUACCCCAGUGACAUAUGUUCUCCAGCAAGGCUAUACCUCCAAAACAUACCCAGACAGCACCACCAGCUGGGUGGACCAAGUAGUGAAAAGCCCAAGACUAUGGGGGACAUUUAUUAUUCAAACCACUGCACUCCAGAACCAGCUUUCUGGCUUGGUAGCUUUACUUCAUUAACAUACCAAUAGAACACCAGAGUCCAAUCAAGCCCUUAGAAAACUGUCCCUCACUGAACCUGGAUCUCCCUGCUGUUCAGCUAGACUGGUUUCUGUCUCCACCUUCCCCACCCUCCAGCACUGGGGUAUGAGUACAAGGGGCCACAUGUACUUUUCACAGGAAUUCUAAAGAUCUGGACCAAGCCCUACCUGCUCACACAGUGAGUCCUCUUACCAUUGAGCCAUCUCCCUAUUAGCCAGGAUAAUUCUUAUUUUCUUCAGGGUUUUAUCCUGUGUAUUGUGAGAAAUUCACAUAUUUUCCCCCAGGAAUUAUAAUAAGCAAAACCACCCACUGUCAUUUCCAGAUUCUUGGGUUAAGAAUCACUCAGCUGACAUUUUAUAACCAGACAACAGAGAAGAAUCAGAUUGCUGAUUCUGACUUGCCCUCAGGAACAUUUAGGAACCUAAGCUCAGAUUGCAAUAAUCAGAAAAGCAUUAUAGAUACGGUAAUGGGGAUAUUCCUCAGUACCUCCCCUUGGUUGUGGACAUAUCCUUCUCAGUCCACCUCUGUAGUUCUAUUCUCAGCAUGAACAUUGCGAACGUUCAUGUGUCAUUUUUACAUAGUUGGACCAAUGUGGUGCUGAUUCUAAGAAUUUUCAUAGGCAGUGUUCUACUAAACCCCAAUAAACCUUUUGGCUUUAUAGGCCUGGCUCUUUGCCCAAGACGGUGAGGGUGAAGGCAGAGCUAUCUAAAGAAGGCCAAAAGGGAAUAAGAGCCCCUGGCCUCAUGGUGGGUUCCUCCUGAGGUCUCAAAGAGGACUGCCUCCAUCUAACAACAGGAGGAAUGGGGCGGGAACGCGAACCUACACCUGCCGACUGUGUCCACAGACAAGGCUGUGGGAAUGCUGAUGUGCAAACAUCACGGUUGACGAACACGGGAGACUUAGAACUGCUAAAUCCAGAAAAGGACCCUGGUAAAUGUGGUCUCUUAUCAAAAUAACAUCUGAGGACUCCUAACAUGUGAGAGCCGACCUCAGGUCCUACUUACCAACCGGACUUAUGCAUCAAGUAUGCCUCAGUACACCUUGAUAACAGACUCAUCUGAUAAUUGCUUUGCCUUCGUGGGCCCAACCUUGCUGACAAAGCCAAUGGACUUCAACCUGCCGGUACCUUUGACCAUUUUUACUCCAGAGUAUUAGGUCGUAGCUUUGAAUUAAGCUUUGUCAAUUAAUCUUCCAUUGUCCAACCUUAGCCCAUUUUAGACAUUGCUUCUACUUUAAACACAGGUGGUCAUCUGUCUGGUUUAGCUGCCUGCUUGUGUUCCUCAAAGUCUUAAAUAAAGCUUCUAAACAUGGUGCACUGCUCUACCUCUUGUUCAUCAAAGAGCAUUAUCACGUCUCAGCUCCAGUAACGACACAUAGCACACUUGCAAACCUGUGAGACUGCCAAGGCCUCCUGGAAGAUGGAGAAUAGAAUGAAUAUGGAGCCUGUCUUUCUCCAUGAACGACCUCCAGUGGUCAUGCACACUUUCAUUGUUGCUCUGAGCCAAGCAGAAAACACAAAUGAAUCUUGAGGUGUGUUUAAAUAGACCCUCCUUCUCAAGUCAAAGCCUUGAGGAAAAAUUGCUACAAAGACGUGGUACAUGUCUAGGCACAUGCUAGAUCACAUGGAGCCUCUAGUGUUCUAAGUGUUGACUGUAGAAUAUAAGCUAAACUAAUACAACUAAUUUUCUUAAUCAUCUGGCAUUUAGCAAUACUGUUAAGAUAUGUGAAUUGUGUAAGUCAACUACCAGAAAAAUGAAGUUGAAUAAUAAUGAAAUAUUGAAAUAAAACAAAAAAAUUGAGCAAUUUGCCAUUGAAAAUAGUAGUUUUAAUGAAAACAAUGUAAUCAUGUCAGUUAAUAUAAAUAUAACAUAGACUUUUAGUAUGUAUACAAUAUCAUACAUUUUAAAUGCUUUAUAGUCUUUAAAACUUUAAUUUUUCAGAAAAAAUAUAUUUUACUAUCUAUAUGAUACUUUGAGCCAUAUGACACAAUUACAUUAAGGUUUCUGACACAGAGGCAAUAAGCCAUUAUAUGCAACAUCUCUUCACUAAGUCUAGUAACUUUAAUUUUCCUCUACCUGCAUUUUAAAACCAUUCUGAGGUUUGUAUUUUAAUACCAUAGAAAGGCCUGUCAAAAACUGUUUUUAUCAAGAGUCUCCAUAGCCAAUGUGUGGUCGUUUGAAUAUGCUUGGCCCAGGG
rnacentral:sRNA from 1 species